GUGGGGAAUAUUGGACAAUGGGCGAAAGCCUGAUCCAGCCAUGCCGCGUGUGUGAAGAAGGUCUUCGGAUUGUAAAGCACUUUAAGUUGGGAGGAAGGGCAGUAAGUUAAUACCUUGCUGUUUUGACGUUACCGACAGAAUAAGCACCGGCUAACUUCGUGCCAGCAGCCGCGGUAAUACGAAGGGUGCAAGCGUUAAUCGGAAUUACUGGGCGUAAAGCGCGCGUAGGUGGUUUUGUAAGUUGGAGGUGAAAUCCCCGGGCUCAACCUGGGAACUGCAUCCAAAACUACUGAGCUAGAGUACGGUAGAGGGUAGUGGAAUUUCCUGUGUAGCGGUGAAAUGCGUAGAUAUAGGAAGGAACACCAGUGGCGAAGGCGACUACCUGGACUGAUACUGACACUGAGGUGCGAAAGCGUGGGGAGCAAACAGGAUUAGAUACCCCAGUAGUCC
rnacentral:rRNA from 1 species